GCAGGUGUAGCUCAGUGGUAGAGUGCUUGCCUGGCUUGUGAGAAGCACUGGGUUCCAUCCUCAGCACCACA
rnacentral:tRNA from 1 species